UCCCCGCCCUCCUUUCUUUUUUCUCUUCCGUCUCUCCUUUCCGGCUGGGCGGCAGCCAGCCUGUGUCGUGAAAAUCACGAAAAGCCUUGCUCUCUGGACAGAGGGCCGCUCGGCUUGGUGACCAGUGAGCGGAGAUGAAGCUGGAUUUUAGCUUCGGCCCGCUCCCUGGGCCAGGCAUUGUUGAGCAAUGCACAACCUGUGCAACAGUACAGGGAGGCCCGACCAUUCAUCUACCCCUUCGCCGAGUGCUGACUGAGCAUCAGGCCUUGGGCUGGGCUCUGAAGACGCAGAGAGGGUCGGAUGCUAUGUGUGUCCUCCAGGGGCUCACACUGGACGAAGUCAACACGCUAUAGAAUGACCCUCAGGGCUGUCGGCGCAGGAAGCAGAAGGGGCUCUGAGGGCUCUGACCAGAGGAGGCAGAGUGAGGGAAGCUCUUGACCAGGAUGGGGGUGGUGGAGCUGAGAACAGGGGGAGGGACGUAGGUUUGAUGAGGCAAGAGGGAGAGGAAGGCUGUUCUGUUCUGGACACGUAGGAGCCCCCGUGGGUAGAUGGAAGGGGUGACGCGGGGCCGGGGAGAAGACGAACCUCACGGCGAGAUCUUUCCAAACACUUGUGUUUCGCUAAGCCGGGCUAAGCAGGAUUUGCUGUUGCCUAGGGGACCGUCCUCAGGAUUCCAGGGGUGGGAAGCGCUCGGGGGUUGGGGCCACAGAAGGACGUUCCUCUCCGCCGCCCUCCCCGUCGGCGGCGCCCAUCUGUCCCUGGCAUCAGAGCCCUGGAAGGAGACACCGCCGAGAAUUCCCAGCCCAGGACCCAGGAGCAGUGGGGAGCCAGCCAGCCCAGGGUUCGAGGUUACGGAGGCCCUUCCUUCGGCAGCACAGAAUCACACGGACCCCCCACUUCCCAUUUGGGAAUGGGUACUGGGGGGUUCUUUUUUUAAGAUGCUCUCAGGGAAGUGUCAGCUGAGAAAACGUGGCUGGCGUGGCGGGCACGGUGCCCGGCGCAUAGCUGAGGUCAAGGCUCUCCCGUCGCUGCUUGAGGCCACCUCACUGAGGAGCUGUCCUGGAAUCCGUGCCGUCCAAUCGAAUCUUCUCAUCUCCGUGAUCACCUCUGUCCCCAAAUUCUUUUCUCGCUAUACCUCUUUUCAUUUCUAG
rnacentral:lncRNA from 1 species